rnacentral:rRNA from 1 species
UACGUAGGCAGCGAGCGUUGUUCGGAGUUACUGGGCGUAAAGGGUGUGUAGGCGGUUGUUUAAGUUUGGUGUGAAAUCUCCCGGCUCAACUGGGAGGGUGCGCCGAAUACUGAAUGACUCGAGUGCGGGAGAGGAGAGUGGAAUUCCUGGUGUAGCGGUGAAAUGCGUAGAUAUCAGGAGGAACACCGGUGGUGUAGACGGCUCUCUGGACCGUAACUGACGCUGAGGCACGAAAGCGUGGGUAGCAAACAGG